GCACAAGCGGUGGAGCAUGUGGUUCAAUUCGACGCAACGCGAAGAACCUUACCUGGGCUCGAAGCGUAGUGGACCGAGGUAGAAAUAUCUUUUCCCCGCAAGGGGCUGCUACGUAGGUGCUGCAUGGCUGUCGUCAGCUCGUGUCGUGAGAUGUUGGGUUAAGUCCCGCAACGAGCGCAACCCUUGUUACCAGUUGCUACCAUUUAGUUGAGCACUCUGGUGAGACCGCCUCGGAUAACGGGGAGGAAGGCGGGGAUGACGUCAAGUCCUCAUGGCCUUUAUGUCCAGGGCUACACACGUGCUACAAUGGCCGGUACAAACCGUCGCAAACCCGUGAGGGGGAGCUAAUCGGAAAAAGCCGGCCUCAGUUCGGAUUGGAGUCUGCAACUCGACUCCAUGAAGCUGGAAUCGCUAGUAAUCGUGGAUCAGCAUGCCACGGUGAAUACGUUCCCGGGC
rnacentral:rRNA from 1 species